AAUAGGCCUACUGGGGACGGCAUCAACGUUAGUGUACGCGCCGCUACAUGAAUCGUUAGCUUAGGAUCCACGUGCUCAAAUAUUGACUGUACUUAGGCCUAACCGUCGUCGAGAAAAUACUCUAACAGAACAAACGAGCAUAUUUAUCUAUAUAAUUUUAUGUUGGUAAGUAAUCCCAGUGGUAUAGACCCAUUAGGUCAUGUCACCGGUUGGAAUUUAGUACGUGAACGUCUUUAUCAUUGAUAUAACCUGACAUAACCUUGUAGGACAACUUCCGGGUCGGCCAAAGCACGUUCCACAUGUGUGCCAGCCAGGCGAGACGGAGUAAACGAGCACAUAUCACGUCCUCACACCAAUGCAGACGACAGCGCUGGCUGGAAUACCGCAUUAACGCAGAUAAUCGGAGGUUACAUCAAUAUGGCAGGAAAGGUUCUACAAAAUUCUCGAGUUGUCAUUUUAGAAGGAUUAAAAUCUAGGUCAAGAAACUUUUCUACUUCGCUCAGUUUUCAGAAGAACUACAAACUUGUUGUCGUUGGUGGCGGGGCCGGGGGCUGUGCAGUCGCUGCCAAGUUCGUCAGAAAACUCGGAGCAGGAAAUGUGGCAGUCAUCGAGCCCAGUCAGACCCAUUACUACCAGCCGAUGUUCACGCUGGUGGGCGGAGGAAUCAAGACCCUGUCCGAUACAGCUCGACCGAUGAAGUCUGUCCUACCAGCCAAAUGUGAUUGGAUUGAAUCAAAAGCUGUUCAAUUCGAUCCGGUCAAUCAGAAGGUCACAACAGCCAGCGGGGAAGAGGUCGGGUAUGAUUACCUGGUGGUUGCUAUGGGACUACAGCUGAACUUCAACAAGAUCAAGGGACUUCCGGAGGCAUUUGACCUUGACCCUCAGGUCGUGUCAAACUACUGGACAAAGACAGUGGUCAACACUUACCCAGCCAUACAGAGAUUCAAGGGAGGUAAUGCCAUAUUCACAUUUCCCAACACACCCAUCAAAUGUGCCGGCGCUCCCCAGAAGAUUAUGUACCUUGCUGAGGAACUCUUUAGAAAGAACAACACAAGAAACGAUUCUGAAGUUCUAUUCAACACCGCCCUGGGUGUAAUAUUUGGUGUGAAGAAAUACGCAGAAAGUUUACAGAAGGUCAUAGAUUCCAGAAAUAUCAAAGUGAACUACAAGAGGAACCUGGUGGAGGUUCGAGCGUCGGAGCGUGAGGCUGUGUUCGAGAACCUCGACAAGCCGGGGGAAAUGGAGGUGUUUAAGUAUGACAUGUUGCAUGUAACACCACCCAUGUCGACACCAGACGAGCUACGAACCAGUGACAUCGUGAACGAGGCAGGCUUUGUGAGUGUUAACAAGGACACCCUUCAGCACACAAGCUUUCCAAACAUCUUCGCCAUCGGUGACUGCAACAGUGCGCCCACAUCGAAGACAGCUGCUGCAGUAGCGGCUCAGUCUGGAGUGUUAGAGCGGAACUUGUCAGCUGUGAUGGAUGGAGGGAAGCAGUCUGCUAAGUAUGACGGUUAUACUUCCUGUCCGUUGGUCACAAGCCGAGGGAAAUGUAUCCUCGCCGAGUUUGACUAUGAUGCGCAGCCAUUGGAGACGUUCCCCGUAAACCAGGGCAAAGAGAGGUCGUCUAUGUACCAAAUGAAGGCCAAAAUCAUGCCCGAACUCUACUGGAAACUCAUGCUCAAUGGAUACUGGAAUGGCCCAGGUGUAUAUAGGAAGAUGAUGAGGCUGGGGAUGUCGCCACGGAAACCGUCUGCUUGAGGAAACAUCUAAUACUGCAUACUUGUACUUUGACUUGUGAAUUGGUGUGCCUUUGCCAGUCUUGGAGGAUUAGUUUUCUACCUUAAUCGAGAUUUGACUCUGCUGAAUUAAAUAUUGGGUAUGUAAGUACCUGACUAAAGUAAAUCAAUUAAUAACUGAAGCAGGUAAAUUGUGAUCUGUCACAAGUGAUAUGCAUACUUAACAGGUGAGUUAUAAACUAAAGCAGGGAAAGUGUGACCUUAUAAGUGACUUGUUUACCUGAAACAGGUAAUUUGAAUACCUGUAAGGUAGAUGAUUACCUGUAAGGUAGAUGAUUACCUGUAAGGUAUAUGAAUACCUGUAAGGUAGAUGAUUACCUGUAAGGUAGAUGAAUACAUGUAAUGUAGAUGGUAGAUGAUUGCCUGUAAUGAUUACCUGUAAGGUAGAUGAAUACCUGUAAGGUAGAUGAAUACCUGUGAUGAUUACCUGUAAGGUAGAUGAUUACCUGUAAGGUAGAUGAUUACCUGUAAGGUAGAUGAUUACCUGUAAGGUAGAUGAAUACCUGUAAGGUAGAUGAUUACCUGUAAGGUAGAUGAAUACCUGUAAGGUAGAUGAUUACCUGUAAGGUAGAUGAAUACCUGUAAGGUAGAUGAUUACCUGUAAGGUAGAUGAAUACCUGUAAGGUAGAUGAUUACCUGUAAGGUAGAUGAAUACCUGUAAGGUAGAUGAUAAACACUGAUGAGGCAUGGCAGAGAAGUUGUAUUAUUGUGAAUGGCCCAAACACUACUACAUAUUGUACUAUUCUAGAUAAGGCAAACUUGGUCUCAACCUGGGCUCUUUUUCAUGAAACCGUUCUCAUGCACAAGUAUGGAUUUUGUGCUUAUUCCGGUUAUAAACUAACCUGUUAAGAGGUGGACAUGGUCUUUCAAUGAUAAAUGUUUUGACGCCUGUGUAACAUACAUUACAUUUGACAUUGUUCAAACCCUGGAGUUUAUUAGGUUGGAACUCUGACUCCCAUUAUCAUGAAACAAUCUAGAACUGGGUACAAUUGCAUACUUGCUAACAUUUCAAAUUCUCCACAGGGGAGAUUGCAUGUGCUCAAAAGUAUGUGUCUGUCCACCCUAGGGGAAAAAAGUAUGUGUCUAUACACCCUAGGGGAAAAAAGUAUGUGUCUAUACACCCUAGGGGAAAAAAGUAUGUGUCUAUACACCCUAGGGG
rnacentral:misc_RNA from 1 species